GAUGAACGCUGGCGGCGUGCCUAAUACAUGCAAGUCGAGCGAACAGACGAGGAGCUUGCUCCUCUGACGUUAGCGGCGGACGGGUGAGUAACACGUGGAUAACCUACCUAUAAGACUGGGAUAUCUUCGGGAAACCGGAGCUAAUACCGGAUAAUAUAUUGAACCGCAUGGUUCAAUAGUGAAAGACGGUUUUGCUGUCACUUAUAGAUGGAUCCGCGCCGCAUUAGCUAGUUGGUAAGGUAACGGCUUACCAAGGCAACGAUGCGUAGCCGACCUGAGAGGGUGAUCGGCCACACUGGAGCUGAGACACGGUCCAGACUCUUACGGGAGGCAGCAGUAGGGAAUGUUACGCAAUGGGCGAGAGCCUGACGGAGCAACGCCGCGUGAGUGAUGAAGGUCUUCGGAUCGUAAAGCUCUGUUAUUAGGGAAGAACAAAUGUGUAAGUAACUAUGCACGUCUUGACGGUACCUAAUAAGGAAGCCCCGGCUAACUACGUG
rnacentral:rRNA from 1 species